ACCUCCUAGCUUAUAUCAAGACUCCAUCUAGCAGCUCUCACUUUGUCUAGAUUCUUCAUGAGCAUCAGUAAGUGGUAUUGGCAGACUCCUCAUUGCUCAAUGAGGGGAUGGAGAGGAAGAGCAAAUGCUAGCCACAAAAACCAGCCCCGAUGAGAGGAAGGAAAAUGUGAGUCUUCUUUACUUUUGUUGGUGUUGCCAUUUUUUUUGUUUUUGGUCCCUUCACUUUGUGCUGUCUUCCAACAUUCAUAGGAUUCUCUUCUACUCGGUAAUUAGGCCACAUAGUAAUUCAUUUAUUCUUCUG